rnacentral:rRNA from 1 species
UACGAAGGGGGCUAGCGUUGUUCGGAAUCACUGGGCGUAAAGGGCGCGUAGGCGGCCGUUCAAGUCGGGGGUGAAAGCCUGUGGCUCAACCACAGAAUGGCCUUCGAUACUGUUUGGCUUGAGACCGGAAGAGGUCAGUGGAACUGCGAGUGUAGAGGUGAAAUUCGUAGAUAUUCGCAAGAACACCAGUGGCGAAGGCGGCUGACUGGUCCGGUUCUGACGCUGAGGCGCGAAAGCGUGGGGAGCAAACAGG